GCCGGCUUAGCUCAGUGGCAGAGCGUCUGUCUUGUAAACAGAAGGUCAACGGUUCGAUCCCGUUAGUCGGCA